AACGAACGCUGGCGGCAUGCUUAACACAUGCAAGUCGAACGGAAAGGCCCUGCUUUUGUGGGGUGCUCGAGUGGCGAACGGGUGAGUAACACGUGAGUAACCUGCCCUUGACUUUGGGAUAACUUCAGGAAACUGGGGCUAAUACCGGAUAGGAGCUCCUGCUGCAUGGUGGGGGUUGGAAAGUUUCGGCGGUUGGGGAUGGACUCGCGGCUUAUCAGCUUGUUGGUGGGGUAGUGGCUUACCAAGGCAUUGACGGGUAGCCGGCCUGAGAGGGUGACCGGCGACAUUGGUACUGAGAUACGGCCCAGACUGCUACGGGAGGCAGCAGUGGGGAAUAUUGCACAAUGGGCGGAAGCCUGAUGCAGCAACGCCGCGUGCGGGAUGACGGCCUUCGGGUUGUAAACCGCUUUCGCCUGUGACGAAGCGGGAGUGACGGUAAUGGGUAAAGAAGCACCGGCUAACUAUGUG
rnacentral:rRNA from 1 species